rnacentral:rRNA from 1 species
UACGGAGGGUGCAAGCGUUGUUCGGAAUUAUUGGGCGUAAAGGGCAAGUAGGUGGUCUCUCAAGUCUACUGUGAAAUCCCCGAGCUUAACUCGGGAAGUGCGGUAGAUACUGUGAGACUAGAGUACCGGAAGGGUGCGUAGAAUUCCUGGUGUAGCGGUGAAAUGCGUAGAUAUCAGGAGGAAUACCAGAGGCGAAGGCGGCGCACUGGACGGUAACUGACACUCAAUUGCGAAAGCGUGGGUAGCAAACAGG